UUUUUUUUGUCAAAAACGUAAAAGGGAAAACAUUCUUUACAAGCAACCUUUGAACAAGCAACUUUUUAUUAUAGCUCCUUGUUUGACUUUAUAAUUGCCGAUUGGCCAUUUGAUACUCAAAAAUAAUAAGAAAAGAUGCCCUCAUUCAUGGCCAUGUUCGCCAGCCAACUUCUGUAGAAUUGUGCGUGUGGCCGAGAAGAAGGGGUCAGAACCGAAGUGGGCAUUCAUUCUCGGUGCAAUUUUUAUGGGUUUUGUGUUUUCGGUAUAUGUUUUCUUGUUUGUCUCUUUGCCGCCAACGUCAUCGUCUUGAUUUAUUGGCCGACUUCUUAAAGCAGAGCCGCUGGUUUUACGAUCUGUCCGGAGUGGGAGAAGUGGCAUUUUAUAUACCCGGCUUAAAGUCCGGUAGCCACUCGGAAGGGCACUACUCUAACCGUCUUGGUUUGAGGGUCAAUACAGAGCAUCGGCGGAAACAGGUGAGAGAAAUUGUUCUGCUGGUUCGACCUGAAUGCAAAUGAUUGUGACUGAUGCCAACAUAAACAAACGGGAUCAGCCUGGAUCGCACCACGAGGUGCAUCGUCUCCCACUGGAGUCACCACCCCUACCACUGGUCUUAUAAAUUAUGACUCUGGAGCCCAACACAUGCAGCGAUGUGGCGUUGGCUCUGGCCCGAGCAUUGGGGAAAUUAAACAGAUUUUUAUUUGCAAAUCAGAUAAGAGAUCAUGCCACGGAGCAGCGGCCAGAUACGAAUACGCGUUUGCCCAGAUAAACAGAUGAACAGAUACUCAGAUACAAAAUCGGGCUAAAGCUGGCUCAAUAUUUAUCGGUCGCGUGAGCGUGUUACCUAAUUGAUGACAACAGGUAGGCGCUUCUGUCAAGCCUAGUCUUAUGAUGGGAUCUGCGGAUCGCAUCCCCGCUAGCUUAUGAUAACCAGGCACGCAAGGCGACAACUGGGCAGCUGGGAGCAGAGCAGCAGGAGAUCCAAGUCAACUACUGUUUGGCCAGGAAUGU